GGGCGCGUAGCUCAGAGGGAGAGCGCUACGUUGACAUCGUAGAGGUCGCUGGUUCAAAUCCAGCCGUGCUCA
rnacentral:tRNA from 1 species